rnacentral:rRNA from 1 species
CGUAAUACCGGCAGCCCGAGUGAUGACCGCUAUUAUUGGGCCUAAAGCGUCCGUAGCUGGCCACACAAGUCCGUCGGGAAAUCUGCUCGCCUAACGAGCAGGCGUCCGGCGGAAACUGUGUGGCUUGGGACCGGAAGAUCCAGAGGGUACGUCUGGGGUAGGAGUGAAAUCCUGUAAUCCUGGACGGACCACCGGUGGCGAAAGCGCUCUGGAAGGACGGAUCCGACAGUGAGGGACGAAAGCUAGGGUCACGAACCGGAUUAGAUACCCGGGUAGUCCUAGCCGUAAACGAUGUCUGCUAGGUGUGUCACAGGCUACGAGCCUGUGGUGUGCCGUAGGGAAGCCGUGAAGCAGACCGCCUGGAAGUAC